rnacentral:tRNA from 1 species
GCAGGGAUACCGAAGUGGUCAAACGGGUGCGGCUUAGGACCGCAUGGCUUAGGCCUUCGCAGGUUCGAAUCCUGCUCCCUGCA